rnacentral:rRNA from 1 species
GACGAACGCUGGCGGCGUGCUUAACACAUGCAAGUCGAACGGAAAGGCCCUGCUUUUGUGGGGUGCUCGAGUGGCGAACGGGUGAGUAACACGUGAGUAACCUGCCCUUGACUUUGGGAUAACUUCAGGAAACUGGGGCUAAUACCGGAUAGGAGCUCCUGCUGCAUGGGGGGGGUUGGAAAGUUUCGGCGGUUGGGGAUGGACUCGCGGCUUAUCAGCUUGUUUGUGGGGUAGUGGCUUACCAAGGCUUUGACGGGUAGCCGGCCUGGGAGGGUGACCGGCCACAUUGGGACUGAGAUACGGCCCAGACUCCUACGGGAGGCAGCAGUGGGGAAUAUUGCACAAUGGGCGGAAGCCUGAUGCAGCAACGCCGCGUGCGGGAUGCCGGCUUUCGGGUGGUAAACCGCUUUCGCCUGUGACGAAGCGUGAGUGACGGUAAUGGGUAAAGAAGCACCGGCUAACUACGUG